CUGGGGGAAAGAGGGAGAAGGGGGACUGUGGCCAGCCCCAUCCAUGUGCUGUGUCCAAGUGGGUUUUCCUCCCCAGGAUGUUUUCAACAUGGCUGCUGCUAGUUAGAACUACAGUUCCCAGAAUACCUAGUGCAGUGCCUGAGUGAUCAGGAGCUGAAUCUGAGAUUUUGCUUUUCUCUGCUGAUGGGAGGGGUGACCUCCUAUCAGAAUCAUAAGGAAUUUCCUGUUGGACAAAGUUGCCUAUACUGAGGUCGUGGAACAUGCCAACAUCCCAAGCAUCCAUUGUCAUCUCAGUCAGUGUUGACUUAGGUGACAAGGUUAUAUAUGGAGAAUGGAAAUGGCUGUAUACUCAAGGAUCUCUUGUAUGGAGAACUCUUUCCAGAAAGAAAACCAUGUGGGCAUUCCUAUCUCUGUUUCAGUGGUGUUUGCAAUCGAGGUAUGAAGGUAAUGAACACUGAGCUAAAUUAUUGGAAAAAGACUGCCGAGGGUCCAAGUGCUUGAAAACAGUCUAUUAUGGAAUGUAAUGAAAGCUUUCAAGGAUAGAAGAGCCCAACAUACAGAAGAAAGAAGAAACCUCAGGAAGGACUCCACACCACAUCAGGAUUGUUAGACAUGAACUUGACAUAAUUGUGGAAGGGCUUGUCAUUAAAGAAUUGGAGUCUACAGCUACACACACAGAUGUUCAACAAGCUGAUGCCUCAGUGCAAAUCUAUUGUUUUGGGAGACAGACAAAUACCUAUUAUAAGACUACAUGAUAACAGAAGCUGUAAAGUAUCACACUUCCUAGAUCCGCCUGCAGCAAUGCCUACUCUUGGGGCCUAAGCUUCUCUCUGUAUGCUGUCACUGGAGAGCACCUUGUUCUCCCAAGGCACUUGCUGGCCAUGACUUUAUAAAAGAUUAGGUAGAAUUCUGCCUAGGAGAAGGCAGUGCUUACUCAGUUAGGCAGCCCCUCAGGAAACUGGGGUAGUCCUGAUAUGCUGUACAGCAAGAUCCUUAUGGAGUUUCAACUGGGAGCUCCUCUAUCCCUACACUCCCACCACAGGCCUCUGUAUAUUAUAUUGCUUGUCUCAAGUCUGGCUUCAGUUGUUAAACCUCCACAGCUGGAGCUCUUUAACAAUACCUCCUGGGCAUCUCCUGUAGUCUGUCAGAAAGUAUAAUAAGGAAAUUUGGGCAGCUUAGUUUCCUCUUACCCUCCUCAGGCAUGCCUCUCUGGCAUCCGAGUGGGGCUCUCACCAUUACCGGCAUCCCUUUUGUGUUGUUCCUGGGGUCAUCCAACCAAUAAGUGUGAGACAUUGUACUCCAGCUGCAGCUCCAGUCUCAUGUACAAGAAGGAAUCACCUGUAGUGAACUGGGAUCAAAGAUCCCCUCAUCUGGGGUCCUCAGCUCCCCAGUGCUUGGCAUUCUGGCUAGGGCAGUCCUGGACAGGACCUCUCUCUCCAGUGGGCUCUGUUUCCUGGCAGGGACUUCUGGACUGCAGCACCAGGCUGUGUUGCUUGCCACACCACACACUAUUUUCCCCAGCUUAUUUCAGCACUAUUGGGGCUUUUCUCCCUCUUGCCGGUAACGGGAAGGGGACGAAUGGGAAAUUCUUCUUCCCCACUCCCAUCAGUCUGCUACACCACCCCAUUCACAUUCCUUUUGGGGUUUAUCUGGGUAAGCAAAAAUCAUCCUUUUUUCUACAGGAUGAUUAUGCAGAUGUCAUAAGGAGUACACACUUCCCAUUACAGGCCACAUAUAUUGCAAAAUAGAUGAGCUGAAGCAUAAAGGACCAAAUGUAGAUGAUGCUUUUGGAUCCUACCAACAUGGCUUUCUGGAGUUGAUGGGGGAUAAAAAGUUGAAGUAAGUAAAUUUGAGCAAAUCAUUUAAAUGUUAAUGCCUGAGAGUCUUUCACCACACACACAUACUAUAGAGAAUGUGAAAGGUGGUUGAAAGAUAAGAGGUAGGUAUGUAACACCAUAUAUGGAAAAGGUAUAAGGUAGUUUUUGAUGUCAUGCAUUUCUAAAAUUGACCUCCAUAUUACAGAUCAGGGUAUAAUUAUCUUCCUCUUUUGGUGAUUUAUCAUAGAUUUUUUUCAUGACAGAGGGGCACAGUCUCAUAUCCUGCAUAACAGACUAAGAAAUUUUACCCAGAAAAUAAAGGAUCUGUAAAUGUGUCCCUCCUGAAAGGAACAGUUCCCAAAUUCGAACCCUGGACUUCAUCACUAAAAGCAAAUGCUAUGCCCAUGAGUCAUCUCUUGCUUGGCCUUUUCCAGAUUUUUGAGAAGAGUCACUAUCUGUUGCAAAGACAAUACAGUCCAGUCCUGAACUGGAGAUUGAUUCUUCUUAUCAGGCCAGGAUAUAAGCUGACAAUUUAAAGAUACAGGAUUGAAUCUCCUAAAGAAUGAAUACCAGGUAGUCUGCAGGCUUUUAAGAUUUCUAUGGAGUACAGGCAAGAAUGUUGAGAAGUGGCAGUUAAAGGGAUAUUUAUAUUUAUUUAUAGUUAAAAUGGAUUCAGCCUGCUCCCUUGUCUUUUCCUACAAGCUUGUGACAUGUCUUUUUUCUCUGUUGAGACCAACCUGCAAUAGACAAUGUAAAUUAUUGUUGUUAAUCAUAAUACAGGCUUUUUUUUUUUGUUAAAUCAUAUUGUAUUUGUAAACAUUACAAGCAGCUUAUAAAUGCAAACACAUUAGUUUCUUGGCAUCUUCUUUGUCUUGGAUGUCUCAUGGGUAAUUCUGCAUUAUAUGGAAGAUUUGAACAAAUAAGUCAUCAGAAAACAUGUCAAACUGAAACUUUCCAGCUCCAACAAUGCAAAUUAGUACCACCUACUCUUGUCUUCUAUAAUUAGUUCUUACUGAUUCAUGUUUCUUGUCUUACCUACAUGCUAUGAGUAAAGAGAAGUAUGCACGGGUAAAAAAGAAGCAGAGAAGUGUAGUAAGAAAGCAGUUCAUUUACUUCAGUAUACCAAAUACAAUGCCAGAGGUAAUGAACAUUACUAUUCUGAUAUAAAAUACUGUGGGAUAUGAUAGUAUUAAAGUGUCUAGUUUGUCUUUAUAUGAAAGUAGUUAGCCCCUAAAAUCUACACACACACAUUUCAGUUCAUUUAAAUGCACCUGUCCAUUUUCCUAGACACACAAAGCAACUUCACUUAUAUUCUUAAAGACUUCCCUCAUACCCUGAAAACAUUUGUUUUAAUUCUAAAAUUGGACUAGAAAGUUAAAAUAAAAAACAAAACAAAACAAAAAAUGGAGCUGAAACUAUGAAACAUCUCUGUUUAGAAACAAACAAACCAACAGUAUUUGCAAGCUGAGAGGGAGCAGACUAAAGAACAGCUCUUCUCUGUUCAAUGAAACAGGAAGGAACAGCAAACUCAGUAACGGUGCUGCUGGAUUGGGAGAAAGGGACUGUGGUACACACAAUGAUGAUGAAUACUUACAAGUAUUCAGUCCACUCCUUGCAUAUACAAUGGGAUGAAUCUAGUCUUGCUAAGGAAGAUAAUUGGGAAAAUAUAUCAACUAAUUGGUCUCACAAAGUUUAGAUGAACAAUUUUCCUGGAGCAAUAUUCUUCAUUUUAGCAAUUUGUCAUUUGAUAUUUUGUUUAGUAAGAGGGAAAUGGUCAGUAUAAACUUUAAAUCUUUUCCCUUUUUCCUACAGCUGAAGUUUCUCAAAAACACAGACUAUAGCAGAUGUAAAUUUAGUAUUAUUGUCUAAAGCCACUUCCCAGUACCAUCAGCUGAACCUUAUUGUAACUAUAUAUUUUAUCCCACUUAACCUAUCAUCUAUACCUUACAUUAAGUAUGCACAGCAUACAGAAAGAGCAACUGUAUUCAGCUUCCUGAAACCAACAGCAGCAGCAACAAGAAAAAAAUCAGCUUGUGCCAUCUAGCCUUGGGACAAAACAACUGCCAACACCAAGGAACUGAGAGACAUGGAUUACAGCCAAAUCAACCUGUCAUCUAGCUCCCUCCUUAUAAUUUUUGCCAAAUUCUCUGUGGUACGACAGGGGGAUAAUGCAAAGGUGUGUAUAACCCUAUCUAGCCUGAAUACAGCAAGAGGGCUGAUUUAUUAAAGAAUAAAA